CAGAAGUGACGUUUCCCGGGUAUCGGUUUUUAAUCCUUAAAAAUCUUCGUGAAAUAUGAACCAUCCUAUCCCAAAACUAUUGCCCCGUGUAUGGUAGAGUAUUUGUGAUACUUCAGGGCAGUCAUGGCCGAAAGCAGCGACGAACAGAGGGGAAAAUCGAGGAUUUCGACGAUGUUGACGUUCUUAAUAAUAUGUCAUUCUGUGAAAUGGAAAUAUGUAUGUAUUUUACCUGAUUAAAUAUCAUGUAGAUCAUUGACGCGUUUUAUAAUGCAAUUCAUAACAAGCAGUCGUAACACAAUGAUAUCGAUCGCUAUGAACAGGACACGCUUGAAUAAUGCCAUAUGUUGACAAUUAAUAUGUUGUGCUCAUCGUUCGACGGCAGCGAUGUGGAUACUCUCAAUAUAUCGUUUUCUGAAAUGGACUUGGUAUGUAGAUUUUUGUGGUAAUGGAGAUUCUACAUGCAGACAUUGUGUUAUUAUACUCAAAAGACAAAGAACAAGCGAACAAUGAGACGCU
rnacentral:lncRNA from 1 species